rnacentral:rRNA from 1 species
AGUGAACGCUGGCGGCGGGCCUAAUACAUGCAAGUCGAACGGAGUGGCGCACGGGUGAGAAAUGUAUAGCUAAUAUGCCCUACACUAGAGGACAACAGUAGGAAACGACUGCUAAUACUCUCAAGUGUAGGAAGAGGGUAUAUAGUAGCAGCUAGUUGGUGAGUUAAUGGGUCACCAAGGCUAUGACGCAUAACUGGUCUGAGAGGAUGAUCAGUGACCCUGUAACUGAGACACGGUCCAGAUUCCUACGAGAGUCAGCAGUAGGGAAUAUUGCUCAAUGGGGGAAACUAGGAAACAGCAACGCCGCGUAGAGGAUGACACUUUUCGGAGCGUAAACUCCUUUUGUUAGGGAUGCGGUACCUAACGAAUAAGCACCGGCUAACUCCGUGCCAGCAGCCGCGGUAAUUC